GACGAACGCUGGCGGCGUGCUUAACACAUGCAAGUCGAACGGAAAGGCCCUGCUUUUGUGGGGUGCUCGAGUGGCGAACGGGUGAGUAACACGUGAGUAACCUGCCCUUGACUUUGGGAUAACUUCAGGAAACUGGGGCUAAUACCGGAUAGGAGCUCCUGCUGCAUGGUGGGGGUUGGAAAGUUUCGGCGGUUGGGGAUGGACUCGCGGCUUAUCAGCUUGUUGGUGGGGUAGUGGCUUACCAAGGCUUUGACGGGUAGCCGGCCUGAGAGGGUGACCGGCAACAUUGGGACUGAGAUACGGCCAAGACUCCUACGGGAGGAAGCAGGGGGGAAUAUUGAACAAUGGGCGGGAGCCUGAUGCAGCAACGCCGCGUGCGGGAUGACGGCCUUCGGGUUGUAAACCGCUUUCGCCUGUGACGAAGCGUGAGUGACGGUAAUGGGUAAAGAAGCACCGGCUAACUACGUG
rnacentral:rRNA from 1 species